GUUUGCCUGAUGACGGUGUGGUGAAUCCACUGAGGAUAUUUGCAAAUAGUAAAGGUUUGUUGAUUGAUGUUCACUGCUGGAGAGUGGUGUUUUAUAUCUCAUUUUGGACAUAACUUUAGUAAAGCAGUUUAGUAGAAGUAUGGAUUACAGAGGACUGAGCCAGCUCCAAAAAGAAUGUAUCAAAACAAGUAAAAAAUGAUUGAGAACACUCGAAACACUGAAAUUUUUAGAACAAUGUAGACUCAACCAGAUAUUCUCAAUGACUAUAAAUAACAUAAGGUUACUGAUAAAAUCUAAAAAAGUUAUAAGGAAUACAAAGAGAAUCUGCCUUAAGGUAGCCAUAUCCAAUGCCAAGAGAAAGUACUACAAAACUCUAAGAUUAAAGACAGCCUGUAAAGACUGAAUUAUACUAUAGCAAGAUGGGGCACAAUUAAUUAAUAUGAUUGAAAGGCAAGAGGAAACAUUGAAGAAAAUACUAGGAGAAAGAUACAUAUGCAAGCUUAGAUGGAUAUUCAAAAAACAGAACAUUUUUCCAAGAAAAAGAGGAUUAGAGUUGAAUAAGCCACUAACCAUAGUAGGAAAUAUAGCAUUGCCGCCAUACAUGGAGAAACUAGUUACAAAAGAACCAGCAUAUGCAAUGCUUAAAGAAGCACAACCAUUAGAUGAGAUUCAAUAGUAGAGAAUAUCCUAACCACUAUAAGGGACCAUGAACUCGACAAGGAAAAGUUGAGAUGGAAAUACGUCCAUGAUAGGAUUAAGGUGCAUAACGAUAAUGAGCAGGCCCAGCAAAAUACUGAAAACUGCCUACUAAGCAAACAUUGCAAUGGAUGAGAGAGAGACAAUACAUAAUAACGAGAGAGGACAAGACAAAGAAGAUGGUCCUAUUAGAAAGGGAAUUAUAUGAUAAAGUCUGCAAGAUUAUAUAAGUACAUUACAUCUGAAACUGCUCAUUAAAAACCCUCCAUUGUAACUAAAAGCAGAAGUAGAUAAGAUUGUGGGGCAUAAAUUAUUCCCAGAGAUGUGGAAGCAUCCUAAGAUAACACCCCCAGCAUGCCCCAGGCCAUUUAUAAAGAUGCAUAAGGAGCCGAUAGUGGCUAGAUCCAUCAUAGAGAAGAGAUCAGCCCUACCUGCACACUGGAGAAAACUUUGGCAAAAUG
rnacentral:lncRNA from 1 species